UCUCUGGUUCACAAAACCCUUCAGCGAUAAUCCUCUUUUAUUUUCCUGAACUUCUGAACUCCUCCAGAGUCUUUUCCCUCCGGUCUUUGGCAAUCGGCCUUGGAUUCCUUUAUCUGCCCUUGGCCCGGCUGAAACUUCUGCCCACGGAGACAGCUGACCGAGGACCGCC